rnacentral:rRNA from 1 species
UUCUGACCUCGAAUCAGGUGGGACUACCCGCUGAACUUAAGCAUAUCAAUAAGCGGAGGAAAAGAAACUAACAAGGAUUCCCUUAGUAACUGCGAGUGAAGUGGGAUGAGCUCAAAUUUAAAAUCUGGUGGUCUUUGGCUGCCCGAGUUGUAAUCUAGAGAAGUGUUU